rnacentral:rRNA from 1 species
AGAGUUUGAUCCUGGCUCAGAACGAACGCUGGCAGCGUGGAUUAGGCAUGCAAGUCGAACGGGAUUGACCUGAUAGCAAUAUUGGGUCAUGAGAGUGGCGAAAGGGCGAGUAAUGCAUGGGCAAUCUAUCCUUGAGUUCGGGAUAACUCAGCGAAAGUUGAGCUAAUACCGGAUGUGGUUACGGCGGGGCAUCCUGCUGUUACUAAAGAUGGGGCUCCUUCGGGACCUGUCGCUCUUGGCGGAGCCCGUGUGCCAUCAGCUUGUUGGUGAGGUAACGGCUCACCAAGGCUUACGGCUAGCUGGUCUGAGAGGACGAUCAGCCGCACUGGGACUGAGACACUGCCCAGACUCCUACGGGAGGCUGCAGUCGAGGAUCAUUCGCAAUGCGCGAAAGCGUGACGAUGCAACGCUGCGUGGAGGACGACGGCCUUCGGGUUGUAAACUCCUGUCAUGGGGGAAAAAUGUAUUGGAUGUUAACAGCAUCUGGUAUUUGAUGGUACCCCAAGAGGAAGCCACGGCUAACUCUGUGCCAGCAGCCGCGGUAGUACAGAGGUGGCGAGCGUUGUUCGGAUUUACUGGGCGUAAAGGGCGCGUAGGCGGCAUUGUGUGUCGUAUGUGAAAUCCCCGGGCUCAACCCGGGAAGUGCAUGCGAAACUGCAGUGCUAGAGCAGAGGAGGGGAGAGCGGAAUUCAUGGUGUAGCGGUGAAAUGCGUUGAUAUCAUGAGGAACACCCGAGGCGAAGGCGGCUCUCUGGAAUCUUGCUGACGCUCAGGCGCGAAAGCCGGGGGAGCAAACAGGAUUAGAUACCCUGGUAGUCCCGGCCCUAAACGGUGCACACUUGGCGUGGGGGGCUUCACCCCCUCCGUGCCGGAGCUAACGUGUUAAGUGUGCCGCCUGGGGAGUACGGCCGCAAGGCUAAAACUCAAAGGAAUUGACGGGGGCCCGCACAAGCGGAGGAACAUGUGGUUUAAUUCGAUGAUACGCGAGGAACCUUACCCGGGCUCGAACGGUGCAUGAAUAUACGAGAGAUUGUAUAGUCCUUCGGGACAUGUAUCGAGGUGCUGCAUGGUUGUCGUCAGCUCGUGCCGUGAGGUGUCGGCUUAAGUGCCAUAACGAGCGCAACCCUCGUCAUUAGUUGCCAUCAGGUCAAGCUGGGGACUUUAAUGAGACUGCCACCGUAAGGUGUGAGGAAGGGGGGGAGGACGUCAAAUCAGCACGGCCCUUAUGUCCGGGGCGACACACGUGUUACAAUGGGAGGUACAGAGGGCAGCUAUCCGGUGACGGAAUGCUAAUCUCCAAAACCUUUCUCAGUUCGGAUUGGAGUGUGCAACUCGACUCCAUGAAGGUGGAUUCGCUAGUAAUCGCGCAUCAGCCAUGGCGCGGUGAAUAAGUUCCCGGGCCUUGUACACACCGCCCGUCAA